rnacentral:rRNA from 1 species
GUGCCAGCAGCCGCGGUAAUACCAGCCCCCUGAGUGGUAAGGACGAUUAUUUGGCCUAAAGCGUCCGUAGCCGGCUUGGUAAGUCUUUCGUUAAAUCCGACGAUUCCAUCGUCGGCCCGCGGAAGAUACUGCUAGGCUUGAGGGCGGGAGAAGUCGACGGUAGUCCCGGGGUAGGGGUGAAAUCCUAUAAUCCUGGGAGGACCACCAGUGGCGAAGGCGGUUGACUAGAACGUGCCUGACGGUGAUGGACGAAAGCUGGGGGAGCGAACCGGAUUAGACACCCGGGUAGUCCCAGCUGUAAACGAUGCGAGCUAGGUGUUAGGGCAACUAUGAGUUGCUCUAGUGCCGCAGAGAAGUUGUUAAGCUCGCCGCCUGGGAAGUACGGCCGCAAGGCUGAAACUUAAAGGAAUUGACGGGG